CACGUAUUUAGCCGGAGCUUCUUAGUCAGGUACCGUCACUUUCUUCCCUGCUGAUAGGGCUUUACAUACCGAAAUACUUCUUCACCCACGCGGCGUUGCUGCAUCAGGGUUCCCCCCAUUGUGCAAUAUUCCCCACUGCUGCCUCCCGUAGGAGUCUGGGCCCGUGUCUCAGUCCCAAUGUGGCCGUCCACUCUCUCAAGCCGGCUACUGAUCGCUGCCUUGGUGGCCGUUACCCCGCAACUAGCUAAUCAGACGCGGGCCCAUCCUGUACCACCGGAGUUUUCCCCGCAGCGCCAUGCGGCACCGCGGGCUUAUGCGGUAUUAGCAGCCGUUUCCAGCUGUUGUCCCCCUGUACAGGGCAGGUUACCCACGUCGUUACUCACCCGUCGCCACUAGGCUGUAUGCUGCUUCCGCCCGAAAGCUUCCGCUGCAUACGCCCCUUGACUUGCAUGUGUUAGGCUACACCGCCAGCGUUCAUACCUGUACGCCCGUAGGACUCAAAACUCUUACG
rnacentral:rRNA from 1 species